rnacentral:rRNA from 1 species
GGUUAAGCGACUAAGCGUACACGGUGGAUGCCCUGGCAGUCAGAGGCGAUGAAGGACGUGCUAAUCUGCGAAAAGCGUCGGUAAGGUGAUAUGAACCGUUAUAGCCGGCGAUGUCCGAAUGGGGAAACCCAGUGCAAUUCGUUGCACUAUCGUUAACUGAAUACAUAGGUUAACGAGGCGAACCGGGGGAACUGAAACAUCUAAGUACCCCGAGGAAAAGAAAUCAACCGAGAUUCCCCCAGUAGCGGCGAGCGAACGGGGAGCAGCCCAGAGUCUGAAUCAGCUUGUGUGUUAGUGGAACGGUCUGGAAAGUCCGACGGUACAGGGUGAUAGUCCCGUACACCAAAAUGCACAGGCUGUGAACUCGAAGAGUAGGGCGGGACACGUGGUAUCCUGUCUGAAUAUGGGGGGACCAUCCUCCAAGGCUAAAUACUCCUGACUGACCGAUAGUGAACCAGUACCGUGAGGGAAAGGCGAAAAGAACCCCGGCGAGGGGAGUGAAAAAGAACCUGAAACCGUGUACGUACAAGCAGUGGGAGCACCUUCGGGUGUGACUGCGUACCUUUUGUAUAAUGGGUCAGCGACUUAUAUUCUGUAGCAAGGUUAACCGUAUAGGGGAGCCGCAGGGAAACCGAGUCUUAACUGGGCGUUAAGUUGCAGGGUAUAGACCCGAAACCCGGUGAUCUAGCCAUGGGCAGGUUGAAGGUUGGGUAACACUAACUGGAGGACCGAACCGACUAAUGUUGAAAAAUUAGCGGAUGACUUGUGGCUGGGGGUGAAAGGCCAAUCAAACCGGGAGAUAGCUGGUUCUCCCCGAAAGCUAUUUAGGUAGCGCCUCGUGAAUUCAUCUUCGGGGGUAGAGCACUGUUUCGGCUAGGGGGUCAUCCCGACUUACCAACCCGAUGCAAACUACGAAUACCGAAGAAUGUUAUCACGGGAGACACACGGCGGGUGCUAACGUCCGUCGUGAAGAGGGAAACAACCCAGACCGCCAGCUAAGGUCCCAAAGUCAUGGUUAAGUGGGAAACGAUGUGGGAAGGCACAGACAGCCAGGAUGUUGGCUUAGAAGCAGCCAUCAUUUAAAGAAAGCGUAAUAGCUCACUGGUCGAGUCGGCCUGCGCGGAAGAUGUAACGGGGCUAAACCAUGCACCGAAGCUGCGGCAGCGACACUAUGUGUUGUUGGGUAGGGGAGCGUUCUGUAAGCCUGCGAAGGUGUGCUGUGAGGCAUGCUGGAGGUAUCAGAAGUGCGAAUGCUGACAUAAGUAACGAUAAAGCGGGUGAAAAGCCCGCUCGCCGGAAGACCAAGGGUUCCUGUCCAACGUUAAUCGGGGCAGGGUGAGUCGACCCCUAAGGCGAGGCCGAAAGGCGUAGUCGAUGGGAAACAGGUUAAUAUUCCUGUACUUGGUGUUACUGCGAAGGGGGGACGGAGAAGGCUAUGUUAGCCGGGCGACGGUUGUCCCGGUUUAAGCAUGUAGGCUGGUUAUCCAGGCAAAUCCGGAUAAUCAAGGCUGAGGUGUGAUGACGAGGCACUACGGUGCUGAAGUAACAAAUGCCCUGCUUCCAGGAAAAGCCUCUAAGCAUCAGGUAACAUCAAAUCGUACCCCAAACCGACACAGGUGGUCAGGUAGAGAAUACCAAGGCGCUUGAGAGAACUCGGGUGAAGGAACUAGGCAAAAUGGUGCCGUAACUUCGGGAGAAGGCACGCUGGUGUGUAGGUGAAGCCCCUGCGGGUGGAGCUGAGACCAGUCGAAGAUACCAGCUGGCUGCAACUGUUUAUUAAAAACACAGCACUGUGCAAACACGAAAGUGGACGUAUACGGUGUGACGCCUGCCCGGUGCCGGAAGGUUAAUUGAUGGGGUUAUCCGUAAGGAGAAGCUCUUGAUCGAAGCCCCGGUAAACGGCGGCCGUAACUAUAACGGUCCUAAGGUAGCGAAAUUCCUUGUCGGGUAAGUUCCGACCUGCACGAAUGGCGUAAUGAUGGCCAGGCUGUCUCCACCCGAGACUCAGUGAAAUUGAACUCGCUGUGAAGAUGCAGUGUACCCGCGGCAAGACGGAAAGACCCCGUGAACCUUUACUAUAGCUUGACACUGAACAUUGAGCCUUGAUGUGUAGGAUAGGUGGGAGGCUUUGAAGCGUGGACGCCAGUCUGCGUGGAGCCAACCUUGAAAUACCACCCUUUAAUGUUUGAUGUUCUAACGUUGGCCCCUUACCGGGGUUGCGGACAGUGUCUGGUGGGUAGUUUGACUGGGGCGGUCUCCUCCCAAAGCGUAACGGAGGAGCACGAAGGUUAGCUAAUCCUGGUCGGACAUCAGGAGGUUAGUGCAAUGGCAUAAGCUAGCUUGACUGCGAGCGUGACGGCGCGAGCAGGUGCGAAAGCAGGUCAUAGUGAUCCGGUGGUUCUGAAUGGAAGGGCCAUCGCUCAACGGAUAAAAGGUACUCCGGGGAUAACAGGCUGAUACCGCCCAAGAGUUCAUAUCGACGGCGGUGUUUGGCACCUCGAUGUCGGCUCAUCACAUCCUGGGGCUGAAGUAGGUCCCAAGGGUAUGGCUGUUCGCCAUUUAAAGUGGUACGCGAGCUGGGUUUAGAACGUCGUGAGACAGUUCGGUCCCUAUCUGCCGUGGGCGCUGGAGAAUUGAGGGGGGCUGCUCCUAGUACGAGAGGACCGGAGUGGACGCAUCACUGGUGUUCGGGUUGUCAUGCCAAUGGCACUGCCCGGUAGCUAAAUGCGGAAGAGAUAAGUGCUGAAAGCAUCUAAGCACGAAACUUGCCCCGAGAUGAGUUCUCCCUGAGACUUUAAGUCUCCUGAAGGAACGUUGAAGACGACGACGUUGAUAGGCCGGGUGUGUAAGCGCAGCGAUGCGUUGAGCUAACCGGUACUAAUGAACCGUGAGGCUUAACCUU